UCUGACCAGACCUAUAUUUAGCAAAAAAGUAAAUCUGCAAAGGAAAAAAAAAAAACAUUCUAAGUCGUCCUCUGACCAGUUUCCAUAUGUGCAACAUUCAGUGUAAAGAAGGUUUUCUACAUGUCAAGAAACUGUGAAGUCAUCACCCAGUAUGUGUGAGAAAAGCUAGGCUUGUGCAUGUCUGCUUGUAUGUUCUAAUGAGCAUCUGUCAGUGCAGACCUGAUAACCACGUUGACACCCGAGGUGAUUUUCUGCUGCCUGCACAGCGAGGUCAACAUCUGGGCUGAGAGAACAGCCAUCACACACCCAACACCAUUUCUGUCAUUAAGAACUGUCUAACCAAGGCACAUGAUUUCUGUCUGACACAGAUAUAUUAGGCCUGGAUAGCGCUCACACACAUUUUUGCAACUUUUUCUUAUUAGUCAAGUUUGGGCUUGUAGCUCACAUUAAAUUUGUCGUUUCCAUAUCCAGACUUCAGAAAUACGCACUGCAAAGUCUCCAGCUCAAAUUUAAGUUCAUAAGACAAAUAUUUACGCUGUGUAUAUCUGGAGAGGAGGAGCAAGUCAGGAGGGAAUGUCUGAAACAUUUUCUCCAUGACUGAACAGAGAGAAAAUCCGGGAACAUAAAAGCCCUCUGUGGCGAGUCCAGUCAAGAAAACUAAAAAUUGUAGCAGCAUUCGGAUGUCUCAGCACUGACUCAGACCAGCGGUGUGACUUUGAGACACACCGGUGUGUGUCAAAACCAUGCUGUCACCAGAAUACUUUAUAUUAGCAACCAGUGGCUGUGGAAGACACAGCAAAUGAAAGCAGCUGAAAGUCACAUUUUUAACACAUAAUCAGUUUUUGUUCAAGGGAUAAAAGUGUGAAGGGCAGCAGCUGCUGAAAAUACUAAUUUCUACCAAACUGUGCAACACAAUAUCAUGCUAAGACAGAAGAAAUUACAUGGAAGAAAUGCUUUAUUUUUAGGCUAAGAUUGUGCUUAGGGUUAGGGAAACAAGAUUUUGUGAAAGUGUCCAAGUUAAACCCAAUAAUUUUUAACAUCCUCUCCAGAGUUUAACCUAAAUCUGAACCCCACAUUUCAUUGUUAACCUGCCUUUACUUUACUGGUGUCAAUCCGCAACCAGAAGCCAAUGUGAGACAAACUGCUUAACACUGGUUUAGUUUAUCAUGGUUUUAUGUGCUUGGCUUGUUUAAGGCGUCCGAGUGUAACAUUUGCAAGGUUGUUGAUGGAUGUAGUUAGUUAUGCUAAACAGAAUGGACCCAGGGAGGCUUUAUGAUACACCCACAACAUUUUUGUUGUGAUGCAAAAAUCUCAGAUUGAAGGACUAGACAGCUUUAUCACUGACCCUGUUGCCACAUAAGAACUGGGACGCCCCUUCUCCUUGCAGUGAAUGUGCAACAUGUAGGGUUGGCUAGACAUUACACACAGAUUUCUGACAGUUUUACAGCAUUGACUGCAUCUUCCCCACCAUCUCACACUGAUAAACUCUGCUGCACAGGGGGUUGAACUGUGCAGAUUUAAGAUUUCGAGGGUGAAAGGUGAAUGUUUUUGCCAAGACACCUACGUGACCGACAUCUGAUAAAAACCUCUGGAGACGGAAAUGGAGGAUGUUACCUGGUAAAGCGUUGUGUGCCCGAGUGACUGGGUGUGAGUGUGAAGAGAGGGAGGCACGUUUAAUGUGUGGCGGUUCAUCUGGGUAAAUGUGGUAGUUUGUGUUUCUAUUGGUCCAUUAAAGUGAACAACACAGAAUGUCAGUUUGAAACAUUCGCUGGGGACUCUGUGUGUGCUACCUCGAGGCUCCGCAGGUAUGUGUGCGUGUGUGUGUUUGUAGUCCACAGAAGCGUGACGGAGCCAGAGGCAAAGGAAGGUCACCUCACGUGCACCGCUCAGUGGAACAGCGCCUGGCGAGUGUGCAUGAGAAGCCAAGCACCAGCAGUCUCCCAAGGACAACAAAGUGCUUAUCCAGGAGAGAAGAAAAAAGAGGGCGGUGACAAAUCACAGAAGAGGUGACGAAGUAGACCGAUGAAGGUGGUGAAGGGCAAAGGCUUACCAUGAAGUCGAAGAAGAAGAGCAGUGAUUAAAGACGCCCUCACACAUGAGGAAGCCGUGAUGCCGGCGAAGGUCAGCUACUGUGCGCGCUCCAUGACAGCUCUUUUGCAGUGCAGCAGGUGCUGAAUCCUCCAUCACUCCAAGACGAGCCUUCAAUGUGCAUCACAAUCAAUGUCAUAAUGAUGGUUAUUAUAUGAUUGAGCUGCAGCUCUCAACUGCUUACAUCCACUUCCACAUCCAUCCUAAAAUCAGUAAUGAUUGUCAUCAGCCAGCUUAUUCUGUCUGCUUGUGAGUCAGAUUUGAAAGUCUGUCACUGGUUCUUUGUGGUCUGUUGCCUGUGUAAGCCCGUGUCUGUAUUAAAUAAACUGUGACAGCAGUGUAAGGCUGUACUGAAAGUUCACUUUGCCACAUGUUGUCAACAACCACAAACUUCCAGGUAUUUUGUUGGAAUCAGAAAGACCGAAACAACGUA